rnacentral:snoRNA from 1 species
AUGCAUCUCUGACAUCCUUGGAGAAGUUAUGUCUGCUGCCAAGGUUUCCACAAUAGAUGCAAGAAAAAGAAGUUCUCGCGCUUUCAGUCUGUCUGAUUGUGGCAGUCAAGAUUGAAUGGGGGAAUACAGGA